AGCCCAGUAACAAGGGUGUGCCCUAUAGAAAUGGGUUUCUAGCUUCUGUAAGAUGGAGUGAGUUGAAUCUGGAUAUUUCACAUCCUGGAUAAAUGCUUGCUUCAUUGAAGGGCUGAGAUAAGGUAAUGGGGAAGAGAAGACAGGCAACUCACUAAAGGUAUUCAAGACCAGGUUGGAUGGGGCCCUGGGCAAUCUCAUCUAGUGCGUGGCAACCCUGCCCAUGGUGGGGAGUUGGAACUGAAGGGUCUUAAAGUCCCUUCCAAACUAAGCCAUUCUAUGAAUCUAUGAUUCUAUAGAAUUACUUCACUGUUUGAAAUGAAAACAUGACACCCGCUUGCUCUUCUUCCAGCUCAUUCCAGAAGAAGCGUCUGGCUCUUAACUCCAGGCAAAGAAGGGCUCUCUCCCUGGUGCCAGGAUGCAGGCAGGACCGAGACUGCACCACUGACUUUGUGCAGGGGACCUGGCAGCAGCAGCAUGCUCAGGAUAUGGCUGGUGUGGCUCUGACAGGGCUGCAUCAUGCAUGGAAGGCAGAAAGGAUCUGUCUACACGUGCCUGUCCUGGGGAAGCACUGAAAUCUUUCCAGAACUUGAUAAGAGCUUGCAGAUGGAUGUGACGGAUGGAGAGCUGAACUGGGAUCUGUUGGAUCUAAUUGAGCCUUAAUUGUAAUACAUUAAACAAUUAAAAUAAUGAAGAUCAGGCACAAUCAAAUCUCAAAACAAAGAGAUUUAGCAAGAUUAGGCUUUUAAAACUGUACAGAUGAUGCCAUUAAUCUUGGAGGAGCUCCAACGUAAACUAUACAAUUCCCAGACGGCUGGGAGGAUGGCAAACAAGAGGUAAGAUCAGAUUCCCAGCAAAAAGUACAAGGGUAGAUGGAUUUUCCCCCUCCAUUUUACAGCUUUUACAUGAAAGCAAAAUACUGUACAAACCAGAACACAUACAACAUAAUGUGAGUAACAGGAAUGUGGAUUUCAGGGAAGUGGCUUGAAUUGCGUGGUGAAUUAUAUAUGCUACUGUACUUCUCGUUUAUAUGUUUGAGAGUUCUGUGGUUAGUUAUUUAUAGUAACUUUGGCACCAAGGAGAUGGCUCCGGCUGAACCCUGGGAGCAGAAGGCGCUCUUUGUCCAUGAAGCAGGUAGAGCACUGUGGGAGAUGAGAGGGGACUCUGGGCCCCAUGCUCGUUCCUUUCCUGACCUCCCCAGGGAUCUCAUCAUCACUUUUAUCAGCAGGAAUGCAUUUAUGGCACUUCGUCAUUGGUGAGAAAAACCUGCUGUGUGAAGCCGGGCUCCCCCUGGAACCCCAGUGCUGAUGGAAGGAAGGUCCUGGAGCCUGGGCACAGAGCACCCAAAAGCUGUUUGUUGGAGGCAGAGUGAUGUGUGACAGCUGUAGUGGGAGAGUGGGGAAAUGUGACCAGAAGCCUGGCCUGAAGUUCACAGCUCCUCAGCAGACACGUGAGCAAGCUCCUGCUGGUGUGAGUGCCACACGCACUGAGACCAGAGUGCUGCAGACCCCGCGCUCUGAGCAGGCGGCAGAUGGACAGGAGCAGGGCUGCUUGACUCCAGGCUGACCCAGGAACCCAAGAUUUUUGGCAUAGUGGUCUUGACCUCUCCUUGCUGUCCUGUCAGCUGUUAUUUCCUAGUGCCCUUGGAUAGGCUGAAUUUGCUCUCGCUGAUGGCCUUUAUAAAGUUCCCCCCUCCCCAUACUUAUGUUAGGCUUUUAGAUCUUUGGGUCAAUCUUGGAAUUGCAGAUUAAAAUCCCACAUCUUUGCUUUUAUUAAAAGAUUUGCUGAGGUCCGGAUGUUGCUGGAAGCCUGAUAUUCUGCACCAUUUACCGGCUGUGAAUUAUGUAGAUACUCAUAUUUUUAAUUUCCUUUCAUUUAGUUGUGUGUGCAGGACCUCUGUCAUGACCAGCAGGGAACUCUCCUGGGUACAAAGAGGCUAUUCAGCUCCUGUGCCAACCCUGGCUUGUAAAAGCCUGGCAGCUCUCAACAAACAAAGCCUAGAAAUGUUGCUAUUAAAAGCAUUUAUUGAA